rnacentral:rRNA from 1 species
CUACGUGCCAGCAGCCGCGGUAAUACGUAGGUGGCAAGCGUUGUCCGGAAUUAUUGGGCGUAAAGCGCGCGCAGGCGGAUUGGUCAGUCUGUCUUAAAAGUUCGGGGCUUAACCCCGUGAUGGGGUGGAAACUGCCAAUCUAGAGUAUCGGAGAGGAAAGUGGAAUUCCUAGUGUAGCGGUGAAAUGCGUAGAUAUUAGGAAGAACACCAGUGGCGAAGGCGACUUUCUGGACGAAAACUGACGCUGAGGCGCGAAAGCCAGGGGAGCGAACGGGAUUAGAUACCCCGGUAGUCCUGGCCGUAAACGAUGGGUACUAGGUGUAGGAGGUAUCGACCCCUUCUGUGCCGGAGUUAACGCAAUAAGUACCCCGCCUGGGGAGUACGACCGCAAGGUUGAAACUCAAAGGAAUUGACGGGGGCCCGCACAAGCGGUGGAGUAUGUGGUUUAAUUCGACGCAACGCGAAGAACCUUACCAGGUCUUGACAU